rnacentral:rRNA from 1 species
AACGACUCUCGACAACGGAUAUCUCGGCUCUCGCAUCGAUGAAGAACGUAGCGAAAUGCGAUACUUGGUGUGAAUUGCAGAAUCCCGUGAAUCAUCGAGUCUUUGAACGCAAGUUGCGCCCGAAACCAUCAGGUUGAGGGCACGUCUGCCUGGGUGUCACGC